rnacentral:rRNA from 1 species
UACGUGGGCAGCAAGCGUUGUUCGGAAUUACUGGGCGUAAAGCGAGUGUAGGCGGUUCGAUAAGUUUGGUGUGAAAUCUCCCGGCUCAACUGGGAGGGUGCGCCGAAGACUGUCGAGCUAGAGUGUGGGAGAGGUAGGCGGAAUUCCUGGUGUAGCGGUGAAAUGCGUAGAUAUCAGGAGGAACACCUGCGGUGUAGACGGCUUACUGGACCACGACUGACGCUGCAACUCGAAAGUGUGGGGAGCAAACAGG